CCCUGGCUCGAGGACGGCGACCCGACCCCGCUCGAGGCGGGGAUGAUCGUGUCGAAUGAGCCGGGGAUCUACAUCCCCGGCCACGCG
rnacentral:tRNA from 1 species